CAGGGAAUAUUGCACAAUGGGCGCAAGCCUGAUGCAGCGACGCCGCGUGAGGGAUGAAGGCCUUCGGGUUGUAAACCUCUUUCAGUGGGGACGAAGCGCAAGUGACGGUACCCACAGAAGAAGCCCCGGCCAACUACGUGCCAGCAGCCGCGGUAAUACGUAGGGGGCGAGCGUUGUCCGGAUUUAUUGGGCGUAAAGAGCUCGUAGGCGGCUUAGCAAGUCGGCCGUGAAAGUCCGAGGCUCAACCUCGGAACGCCGGUCGAAACUGCUAUGGCUAGGGUCCGGUAGAGGAGAGUGGAAUUCCCGGUGUAGCGGUGAAAUGCGCAGAUAUCGGGAGGAACACCAGUAGCGAAGGCGGCUCUCUGGGCCGGUACCGACGCUGAGGAGCGAAAGCGUGGGGAGCAAACAGGAUUAGAUACCCCCGUAGUCC
rnacentral:rRNA from 1 species